rnacentral:rRNA from 1 species
GACGAACCGUGCAAACGUUAUUCGGAAUCACUGGGCUUAAAGGGCGCGUAGGCGGCCGCCAGGUCCGGGGUGAAAGCCUCCAGCUCAACUGGAGAAGUGCCUUGGAUACCGGCGGCCUCGAGGGAGGUAGGGGCGUGCGGAACUUCGGGUGGAGCGGUGAAAUGCGUAGAUAUCCGAAGGAACACCGGUGGCGAAAGCGGC